ACAUCACGUUGAAACACCGAUUCCCGUAUGAUCACCGACGUUAAGCAAUGUCGAACCUGGUCAGUACCUAGAUGGGUGACCGCUUGGGAAAACCAGGAA